GAAUGGAGUACCUGGAAUAAUGUGCCUCUGCCAUGAUCCUUUCUCGUGAUCCAUCAACAUCUGGGGUAAAAAGUUUACCCUGGUACCUCAGUACAUCAUCUCCCCCUUGUUCAAAAGCCAUAACCUUUUAGUGUAAAACUUCUUCCUUCAAUUGUAAAAGGACGGGAUUAUGAUUCUGCUUUUAUUGAACUUUCGACACUAGGGAUGAUUUGGACAUAUUUUGAAUAAUCCCCCCUUCUCUCCUCCCUCCCCC
rnacentral:lncRNA from 1 species